rnacentral:tRNA from 1 species
GCCGAGGUGGCUCAGGGGUAGAGCACCUCCUUGGUAAGGAGGUGGUCGCGGGUUCGAUUCCCGCCCUCGGCU